CCCUGACGAAUCUGACUUUAACACGGACUACAACUUUGUAUCCUUGAACAUUAACCAAUCCAAAUUCCUCGCUCAUACUCGAUAACCACUUUAGUCGAUUAUACUGUAGACACUCUUUUUUCAAGAUCUUACUUUUCUUCUCCUCCUAGUUCUCUAACCUUACCUUUCUUUACCAAACGGGCGCUUUGAUGUGCUUCUUUCUUCGGCACUUGAAAUCUGAAACCUCAGCCCAAGGUCAAACCUUACAUCUACGUGAACCACUAAUUUUGAAACAUCCCUCAAAUCUUGACUCUGAUGCAUCCCCUUGCUGAGAAGAUCUACCCAUAUCCUUCCAAUUAUUAUUCAGCUCAAAACCCUUAUAAUACUUCAAUUCUCUACAAAGACUUCAUAUUCUCUCAACUUGAAAAUUUUGCCUUCUACUAAACUCUCCUUCAAUAUGCUUUAUGUCCUACAGAUAUUGUUUCUCAAACCCUUCUUCUUUUACUUCCUUUCUAGAUAUUUAUUUUUCUUGGUCCAUUUCAGAAUUCUUAUUCCUUUCUUAACUUAGGCUUCAAACCUUUCACCACUUAUCUUCUUCAGACCUCAAACAUCACUGAUAUACCAACCAAUGUUGCCUUCUCAACCAUUGCUACUUCAUUGCUCACUAACACCUUCCUUUUUUUGACAUCUUACGUUACUCACAGAUAUAACCAAUUGAUUUCUCAAACCUUGCUAUACCAAUGCUUACCCAAACUCCUCUUAGUAUCUUGUGAUUUUUACACCUCUAACUCUGUUCUUGAAACGAAAGCGGCGCUUCUACCUCCUCAUGUAUUAAUCCAUUCCUUGAAGCUCAAAAG
rnacentral:lncRNA from 1 species